ACCGUGGUGGGGCACCCUCUGGGGAAGCGCCUCCGCGCCUAUAUCAAUUUUUUUUUAAAAAAAUUAAAAUUAUCAUAAAAAAUCAUAAUUUUAAAUAAUUAUUUUAAAAAAAUUGAUCUAGGCACGGAGGCAUCCCCAGGGGGUGCCCCACCACGGU
rnacentral:pre_miRNA from 1 species